rnacentral:lncRNA from 1 species
UGCAAACCCAAGUAGAAAAUAAUCAUUCUUAAUCUGUGGUUUUACUGAAGCAGUGUCUCACUGCUGCAGUUCUGCUGCAGCUGUGGAGCAGGCAGCGGCUUCCUCAGCUGAUUUGCAUUGAGUCUUUCUGAUGUUAUCUUCCUUUGGUGACACAUGGCCCAGAGCCCUGGGGAAGAGGUGAAUGAGGCUGUCCCAUUUCUCUCCUGCCACCACCAUAGAAAGAAGAUCAGCUGUCCAUUAUUGCAUGCCAGCUCACCUGUUCUAUGGCCCAUGCACGGGAUUGAGUUGAUGUUACUGAAGGGAUACCAGUAGAUAAGUACUACUACCACAGAAUCUGGUGCCACAUUAUGGACUCAAAAGUGAUGACGAGGUUGGGCUGACAGAUGAAGCAUGGAAUUUAGCACAGAGGAGAAAUGUAUGCUUGAAUCUUAUUGCCGCAUGUUAUCUGACUCCAUUGACUGCAGCAUGUGACUGAAUUAAAGUGAAUGAUGAAAU